rnacentral:lncRNA from 1 species
UUUUAUGGAACGGACGUGUCAAUCUAAGGAUAUUUCUCUUUCUUUCUCAUCUUCUUUCUCCACCGUGUGGCUUUUAUCUCUGUUCCAAAUUCCAUCAACACUUCGAUCAUCUUGGUCUUGUCGAUGGUUCGCGCUGUGCUCAGCUCUCAUUUGGAACAUCAAGCUUUUUCCUCCGGCCCUGCGUAUCUGCUUCACUUCAUCUUAAUCAUUCCUCUUCUAGGUUUAUUGGUAGGUAUACUGAUGAUCCUCCAAUUUCAUUUCAAUAACCCUUUAAUCUUUUUCUAUUUGGAUUUCAAUUUCAUCAGCUUCUUCGAAGUAUUGGUUAAUUAAUCUGUGUUUUCUGAGAUGUCGUUCAUUGAAUAGUGUAUAAAGCUAUUGUUGAAGGUGAUUAUGAUUUUAGUUGUAUAUGUAAUCGAUUUGAAAAUACGUGAAGCAAUGAUAAUUUCUCAAUUCGUCUUCUGUAUUUGAAUUACUUAUUCUAAUAGUUGUAGUUGAAUGAUUCGUUGUUUUUUUGUUAAUUUUUCUUCUUGUAGUGUAAGACCUAGAAAUUAUCCCGUUUCGUUUGUCGUCAACGAAGCCACUUUAAGGUAAUUUCUUUAUUCUCUUUCAUUUUAUUUGUGUUGUUUCACGCUUCUUCGUCGACUCUGAUAUGAUAAUAGUAGAGAUUUUUACGGGUGCUGCCUCGAAGCCCUAAAUCCGUAUUCUCUCCCUUAUCUCCACAAAAUCAACUUGGUAUAGCUGUAUGUAACUUUAUUUAGGGAUUUUAUUCCAUAAAUAAUGUGGAAUUAGUCUACAGUUGAAGCAAGGAUGACAUCUAGGUUUGCUGAAUCAAAGGGAAUUGCCAUGGAAUUUAGGGUAUUAUAGAUUUUCUCUGGAGACCAUCGUCGGUUCCUGUAUUUUAUCCCUUUUACUGUCAUGUGUAGAUAUAUAUGAUGCAUAAUCAGAAACCAAGUGUUUUUCUGCAUCUUUACCAGCUUGCUAUGAUCUUAAUUUUUAUCUGGACAUGUUAUUACUGAAAUGAUGCUUCUAUCAUUUAUUUUUCUACUGAUGUUACCUCCCAUUACGUAUAACUAGCAUCAUAAUGCAAAGAUGAGGAUGAUGAAAGGAUAUUUCCCACUUUAUUGCCCCUACUACGGGAGUCCAUUCCAAGUGCAACAGAAGAUAUUGAAUCUGAAAUCGACAAUCAAAUGACAAAAAAAGGUCCUACCUUUUGUUUUUGCUUUUAUAUUGAUCGUUAUACAACUCAAUUUUCUUUUUUCUUUUUUUUUUUAAUAAUUUUGUCUUUUUGAAAUCAAUGAUAAGUAAACAGCAUCCAAGGAUGAGUGCAUAUAUGAUUUGUAUGCUGUGAAAGAUGAUGAAGAUACAUCAGCCCCAUUUCCAGUAUAAGGAUUCAUCAUUUUUCUCUAUGGUUCCAUGAAUUACCUUUUUACCCUUGCCUCAUAUGGAACAUGUUGUUGGAUUUUCGUGUAGCUUCCAAGUCAAAUUUUAAUGGGAUUUAGCAUAUGGUUUGAUGGUUUUUUGAUAUUAGAUUUUUUGGUAGAAUUGUAUCUAUCAUGUGGAAGUAGCCGAUGAGAAACAAGCAUCAGAUCUAUUUCUCAACCAUAUCAAUUCAUAUAUAUCUUGAGAAAAUGAUCAUUAAAAUCAUAAGAAUUUUUGUGGUUUAAUCAUAUAAUCUCAUCAAGUAUACUCAACUCUAUUCUUAAUAAAAGUAAAAUAGAAGCUGGGAAGAUGGAGGUAGAAGAAAAAGAGUUUGAGUUGACAAAAGUAGUUUUUAUAAUUCCAUUACUAAAUGUUUCUUUUAUUUUUGGUUUUUCCUCUAAUUUAUGCUUACAAACAGUAACAACUUUUGAGCCAAGCGAAACAAUUUUUAUUUUAGUUGGCUGUUUUAUCUUGGUCUCCGUUGCU